UUGCAUGCUGCCAUUAGUCACCAGAUUGACCCAGAAUUGUUUGAUUUAGGUCUGGGCAGCGACCUCCUGAACAGCCUGAAGCAGAUGGUGGUGACCCUGGCCAGCAAUGCGGGCCUGCUGAGCACCGUGCAGUCGGCCGCCCAGGCCGUGCUGCAGAGCGGCUGGUCCCUGCUGCUGCCCAGCGCCGAGGAGCGGGCCGGGCACUCUCUGCUCCCCUGCCCUGCACAGUUUCAGGCAAUGACGUGAACAUAAGUCGAGGUUGUCAAUUCAUGAGUGAUCUUCUGGUGGGCAGCUUGAUGACUGCUGGAGGGUUGGAGUCAGCCUUACACGCAGCCAUUACUGCAGAGAUCCAGGAUAUUGAAGCUAAAAAAAAAGCACAGAAGGAAAAAGAAGUUGAUGAACAGGAAGCGAAUGCCUCAGCAUUUCAUAGAAGCAGGACGCCAUUGGAUAAAGACCUUGUUAAUAUGGGAAUCUGUGAAUCUUCUGGCAAACGGUGUUUACCUCUGGUUCAGCUCAUACAACAGCUUCUUAGUCCAUGUGAAAUACUGGUGAGCAUUGUUCUGGAAGGCCGGACUAGGAGGAGGUGGGAAGAAGUCAGACUCAGCCAGUGGACAGAGGCUAGCCUUGGCAGAAGCCAAGAUGGUCAGGCAGUGUUGUGUAAACAUGAUAGUUCAAGAGGAGCGGAAGAGCAAGGUGAUUUGUGAGAGAGAUUUAUUAGAAAAUGAAACACAUUUAUACCUCUAUUUCAUAAAAGUCUGCUGUUUGUAAACUCGUGCUCCUGAUUUUUGUUUCUACACAUAGAGAAAGCAGAGCCUUGGCAGGUUGGAUCAGGCAGCCGAGCACAGAGCAGGGAGCCCUGGGCAGUGGCCCCAGCUCUCAGCUGGCCUGUUCAUGGGGCCAUGGUAGGUCUGCAGCAUGGGGUGGGCCUGCAGCGUGGGGUGGGCCUGCCGUCCACAGCCAGGAAAAUGAACUUAGUGGACACAGUGAAAUUUUGAAACAGGAUGUUUUAGAGCUAGUUUCUAUCAUAGAGUUUAGUAAAUGCUCUUUUGAAAAAAGUUUUUCUGAUGUGUGUUUUGUUUUCUAAUCUGAUAAUGCAUAUUUCACAUAUUCUGGUCUUUAACCAAUGGAAAUUAGAGAACUAAACUUAAUAUAGUUUGUGUUAAUGGAACGAGCUUGGGAUUUGUUCUCUGAAAAUUUCAGUUGCAACAGCUUGUUCACAUAGGGGAACUUCCACCACAGUAACUCUAAGAGUAAGAAUAAAAGCUGUGUUUCCUUUCCC
rnacentral:lncRNA from 1 species